UAGGAAUUGUUUAUAAAAAUUAUAAGAUCACACACAUAAGGUAUGUUUUUACCAUGUUUUGAGCUGUUUUUUUUUUUCAGCAGGGUGGUUACAGACUUCAUAGUCAGGAGGCAGAUCUGACUGAAAAUUUUGGAAUAUUUUUGGAUUGAAAUUUCAAUAACAGUUCUGUAAGUAACUAAGGAGUUUGUGUUAUUUUGUCACCUCCAGCACCAGGGUAAACUCCACCAGCUCCUGGAACAUAUCCAACCCCGCCUAAACACAGCAAUGCAAUAAAUUACACUACUUCAAUUCAGAGGGUUCAAUUCUGCUAUCUUCUAGAAACAUACAGUUCUUUUAGCAGCAAUAAUAUCCCCGGUAAUAAGAACAUCACAGUGUAAUUCAACAUUAAAGCAGCAGUCCUUAAAAUGUUUUCCUUUUAAAUUGAAACCAAGGGAUAAAAUAUUCUAAUAAAUUGUAUCAGUGUGAUGAAGUGACCAUCCCUGCAACUUCCAAAUACAUUCAUUCUAAUGCAGUGUGGUCUGGUAGGUUUUGGAAGGAUUUCUUCUGGCUACAUCACGUGUUCUUUAAGUUAAAUUGUCUUUAUUUACUAUUGGCAUAAAUUUUUCAGUUUAAUACCAGUGGGAAAACACUUUGGCCCACAGUAAACAACUAAUCCGGGGAGAGAACUAAGGUUAGCGUAGAGCUAGCUAACGUUAGCGGCGAGCUAACUAACAUACUAUUAUUAGCGGUGAGCUAAUUAGUGGAGGUUGGUGAAGAGUUAGGUAACGUUACCGGGGAGAGAACUAAGGUUAGUGCAGAGUUAACUAGCAUUACCGGGGAGAGAACUAAGGUUAGUGCAGAGUUAACUAGCAUUACCGGGGAGAGAACUAAGGUUAGUGCAGAAGGUUAAUGCAGAGUUAACUAGCAUUACCGGGGAGAGAACUAAGGUUAAUGCAGAGUUAACUAGCAUUACCGGAGAGAGAACUAAGGUUAGUGGAGAGUUAGCUAACAUUACUGGGGAGAGAACUAAGGUUAGUGGAGAGUUAGCUAACAUUACUGGGGAGAGAACUAAGGUUAGUGGAGAGCUAGCUAACAUUACUGGGGAGAGAACUAAGGUUAGUGGAGAGCUAGCUAACAUUACCGGGGAGAGAACUAAGGUUAGUGAAGAGUUAGCUAACAUUACCAGGGAGAGAGUUAGCUAACAUUACCAGGGAGAGAACUAAGGUUAGUGGAGAGUUAGCUAACAUUACUGGGGAGAGAACUAAGGUUAGUGGAGAGUAAGCUAACAUUAACAGGGAGAGAACUAAGGUUAGUGGAGAGUUAGCUAGCAUGCUAUCAUACUAAUGUUAGCGGCGAGAUAGCUAACUGGAAAUAAUAAAUAUAAAUGACAAAUCAUUUUAAGCUGUAUUCUACAACUGCGGUUCUCAAAUGUUUCAGUUG